AGACUGCAGGCUGCAACUCGCCUGCACGAAGUCGGAAUUGCUAGUAAUCGUAGGUCAGCAUACUACGGUGAAUACGUUCCCGGGCCUUGUACACACCGCCCGUCAAACCAUGAGAGUUGGCAACACCCGAAGUCGGUAGUCUAACCGCAAGGAGGACGCCGCCGAAGGUGGGGUUGAUGAUCAGGGUUAAGUCGUAACAAGGUACC
rnacentral:rRNA from 1 species